rnacentral:rRNA from 1 species
AUUGAACGCUGGCGGCAUGCCUUACACAUGCAAGUCGAACGGCAGCACGGGAGCAAUCCUGGUGGCGAGUGGCGAACGGGUGAGUAAUAUAUCGGAACGUGCCCAGUAGUGGGGGAUAACUGCUCGAAAGAGCAGCUAAUACCGCAUACGACCUGAGGGUGAAAGGGGGGGAUCGCAAGACCUCUCGCUAUUGGAGCGGCCGAUAUCAGAUUAGCUAGUUGGUGGGGUAAAGGCCUACCAAGGCAACGAACUGGAGUUGGUCUGAGAGGACGACCAGCCACACUGGGACUGCGACACGGCCCAGACUCCUACGGGAGGCAGCAGUGGGGAAUUUUGGACAAUGGGCGCAAGCCUGAUCCAGCAAUGCCGCGUGCAGGAAGAAGGCCUUCGGGUUGUAAACUGCUUUUGUCAGGGAAGAAAUCCCCUAGGUUAAUACCCUUGGGGGGAUGACGGUACCUGAAGAAUAAGCACCGGCUAACUACGUGCCAGCCGCCGCAGUAAAAC